GACGAACGGCCCAAGCGUUGUUCGGAAUCACUGGGCUUAAAGGGCGCGCAGGCGGCCGAGCAAGUCAGGGGUGAAAUCCGGCAGCUCAACUGUCGAAGUGCCUUUGAUACUGAUUUGCUCGAGGGAUAUAGGGGUCUGUGGAACCUCUGGUGGAGCGGUGAAAUGCGUUGAUAUCAGAAGGAACGCCGGUGGCGAAAGCGACGGACUGGAUAUCUUCUGACGCUGAGGCGCGAAAGCUAGGGGAGCAAACGGG
rnacentral:rRNA from 1 species